ensembl:snRNA Gm26327 U6 spliceosomal RNA
GUGCCCGUUUCGGCAGCAUAUAUACUAAAAUUGGAAUGAUAGAGAGAUUAGGAUGGCCCCCGUGCAAGGAUGACACACACAAGAAUUCGUGAAGUGUUCCAUAUUAAA